UGGUGACGUUCAUAUGACGCGUUUCAAUACCCGCUGAUGUUCUGGCAAGGUGACGAUGAAUAUAACUUUAAUAUCAAAAUGAAAAAUUUAUUGAAUGGUUAGGAAACUACCAAGAAGGUUAGGUCGAUGAAAUACUACGCAUACCGUUUGCUGAUUCGUAAAAAUUUUGACAAUUAUUACUUCAACAAUAUUGCGUUGACAUGUCGAAACAAUACGUAGUACCUUAAUUUUAUUCGGUUGAAUCAAGGUAUUUUAAACUCCUUGAAUGUGCAG